GUGCUCACUUCGGCAGCAUAUAUACUAAAA
rnacentral:snRNA from 1 species